AUGUUGCGGAAGUUUUGGUGGGGGAGCAGAAAUGGCGAAAGAAAAGCAGCUUGGGUGUCAUGGGAUGUCCUCACAAUGCCAAAAUAUAUGGGGGGUCUUGGUUUUCGGGAUACUCAUCUGUUUAAUCUUGCUAUGCUUGCCAAACAGGCUUGGCGCCUAACUCAAGAUACAGAGUCCUUGAGUGCUCGAUUAUUGAAAUCUGUAUAUUACCCCGAGUGUGUUGUUUUGGAAUCUGAUCUUGGAAAGAAUCCCUCUCAAAUUUGGAGAGCGAUCUAUGAAGGGAAAGAA
rnacentral:rRNA from 1 species